rnacentral:rRNA from 1 species
AAUGAACGUUGGCGGCGUGGAUUAGGCAUGCAAGUCGAGCGUGUACCCGCAAGGGGAAAGCGGCAAACGGGGUAGGAACGCGUAGGUCACGUACCCCUCGGCCGGGGAUAGCCACGGGAAACUGUGGGUAAUACCCGAUGACGCCGAGAGGCCAAAGGUGUGAUUCCGCCGGGGGAGCGGCCUGCGUAGUAUUAGCUAGUUGGUGAGGUAACGGCUCACCAAGGCGAAGAUGCUUAGGGGGUGUGAGAGCAUGACCCCCACCACUGGGACUGAGAUACUGCCCAGACACCUACGGGUGGCUGCAGUCGAGAAUCUUCGGCAAUGGGGGCAACCCUGACCGAGCGACGCCGCGUGUGGGAUGAAGGCCCUUGGGUUGUAAACCACUGUCAGAGGGGAUGAAACGAUCAUGGGUUCUCCCAUGGUCCUGACAUAGCCUCAGAGGAAGCACGGGCUAAGUUCGUGCCAGCAGCCGCGGUAAUACGAACUGUGCAAAACGUUUAUUCGGAAUCACUGGGAC